rnacentral:rRNA from 1 species
GCCUGCAGCCAUUUAACCUCAAGCUGCAAUCCAGAAACCUUGCAGACUAUGUGGGGAUGGGCUGGGUUAGUACUUGGAUGGGAGGCCACCAAAGAAAACCCAAUAUUGUGAGUC